AAAUGGAAAUCGGAACCCGAUACAAUACUUACGUACACUUCACAUUUUUCUCUAGUUUUCUUAGAAUUUCAACUUUUAAAACGUAUACAAAACGAGAAUUCUAGCAUUAUACAAGUUCCGAAUGCAACUUAGCUAAGAUAUAUAGAACUACUUCACCGGUUGUGAAGAGGGUCUGAUGCAUUUGGCACCCUCCUUUUGCUUGAGAAGAGUACAUCCAGAGAGCGUUUUGUACUUUGCACACCUUCCUUUUUCUCCUUUUCUUGCAUUACUGAUGCUGAGUUUGCCCUUGAAAUGA
rnacentral:lncRNA from 1 species